CUGGUUGUGGCCAGAGUUCACUUUGUACUGGUCACAGUGUAGCAUGUUUUAGUAUCUGGCAGAACCAAGAUAGAUUUAUCCAAGGGAACCGAUGGUUGAGAUUUUUUGAACAAGCAGAAUCGGAGGAUCCACUGAAUGUUGUUCUCCAGAUCUGACAACAUCCUUGGAAGUUGGUAGAUAGAACAUAAAGUGAAAAAACGUCUUGUAGGAAAAUACCAGUUUGGAGGAACGGGAAGGACGGGGCUCACAUGUGCAGGAUCAGCACAAGAAAAGUUUUCUUUCUACGCACUAAAAACAUCAGUGAAGCAACGCCUUUUCACCAGACGUUAAUGUGGAAGAGUGAACAGUAAACGGUUAAUCUUACUGCGAUCCUGUUUUCAUUGACUACGGUUUAUCUCGGUGUUUAGUUCAGAGUUCUCUUACACCUGAGCGAGAACACUACAAUUAUGCAUUCCAUUGAACUGCUGCUGCUAAGUUACAUGCCGGUGAUAAUAAACCCGGUUCUGACUCCAGGCUGGGAAGCCUCUGGAAGGGCCGGGAGAGGUGCUCGAUUGCAUCUCUGAUGUGGUCUUCCAGGUGCAGGCGCCUGAGCCGUGGAAGGCUGUCAUGCUGCACUGGGACUGGCUGGCACCAUGUUGGCCCUUGGCCACCAGUAACCCAGCAAGCCUGAAGGAAGGAGGUGACACCCUGGGCACCCUACCUCUUGCCUCACCCAGGCAGGGUCUCUUCUGGAGGAGGUGACAGAACCCCCCCCCCCCAGUGCCCCAGAUGGCAACAUGGACCCCACCAGGUCUUUUGGACUUUGUUACGGACUCUGGGGCUGCUGCGAACAGCUGACCCUCAGGUGGGGACAGGGUGAUGUUCCGGGGGGAGUGGUCAAAGCCUGCCCCUGCAUUUCUAAUGAUCAGCACAGUUUAUUAUUCUUACAUUAAAAUGCUUUUGUGGGAUUAUGGCGGGGAGCUCCAGUUCAUUUAUUGUUCCAUUUUAGCUUGGGUUAUGCAGCUGUUCAUUUGUGUAUUUGUGGGUCACCCUGACUGUAACCGGGGUGUGUGAUGGUCACCUGCCCCGUCUGCACGAGACUGAUUGGGUCAUGGUGCCCGGUCUGUUUUGUGUUUAUCGUAAUAAAAGGGUCGCUGAGCUAACGAGCUUCCUCGUCCGUCAUUAUGGACCAAAGGCUCACCACCAGUAUUGAGGAAGGCAAAAGGUAAAGAAGGGAUUAAACAGGGAGCACCUUCAACAACCCCGAGGAAGCUUUCAUUUUGUCCCAUCCCCUUAUUACCUUUGACAGCUCCUUAGACAUUAUUUUCCUCUCUGAGAGAUUCGUGUUUCCAAAGACAGGAGAACUGCAGUAGCUUUCGAAGCUUUGUUCAGUUGCCUCUGCUCACUACCUGUCUGCGGCAUGCCAAACUCCUCGGGAAAUGCAACCUGAUCUUUGAUUUCUCUCUCAGCGUUUUUUUGU